UACGUAGGGGGCUAGCGUUGUCCGGAUUUAUUGGGCGUAAAGAGCGUGUAGGCGGCCAGGUAGGUCCGGUGUGAAAACUCGAGGCUUAACCUCGAGAUGUCAUCGGAAACCAUCUGGCUAGAGUCCGGAAGAGGAAAGUGGAAUUCCUGGUGUAGCGGUGAAAUGCGCAGAUAUCAGGAAGAACACCAAUGGCGAAAGCAGCUUUCUGGGCCGUAACUGACGCUGAGGAGCGAAAGCGUGGGGAGCGAACAGG
rnacentral:rRNA from 1 species